rnacentral:tRNA from 1 species
GUGUCUAUAGUGUAGUGGUUAUCACGUUUGCAUCACACGCAAAAGGUCACCAGUUCGAACCUGGUUAGACGCA